GGAGAGAUGGCAGAGCGGUUUAAUGCGGCGGUCUUGAAAACCGUUGACCUUCACAGGUCCGGGGGUUCGAAUCCCUCUCUCUCCGCCA
rnacentral:tRNA from 1 species